rnacentral:rRNA from 1 species
AUGUUAGCCGGGCGACGGUUGUCCCGGUUUAAGCAUGUAGGCUGGUUAACCGGGCUAAUCCGGAUAAUCAAGGCUGAGGUGUGAUGACGAGGCACUACGGUGCUGAAGUAACAAAUGCCCUGCUUCCAGGAAAAGCCUCUAAGCAUCAGGUAACAUCAAAUCGUACCCCAAACCGACACAGGUGGUCAGGUAGAGAAUACCAAGGCGCUUGAGAGAACUCGGGUGAAGGAACUAGGCAAUAUGGUGCCGUAACUUCGGGAGAAGGCACGCUGGUGUGUAGGUGAAGUCCCUGCGGAUGGAGCUGAGACC